rnacentral:lncRNA from 1 species
GCUAAGAAGAAUCCACAAGAUGUGGUGUUUGAAUUGGAGCCACUUAAACCUCAAGGGAGUAAUGCAUUGUGUGUUGACUUUCCUAGUUUUGACAUAGAACUUUUACCUUAUAUUUGCAGACACCAAAACUAGAGCUCAAACUGCCUCAUGAACAUAUAAAAUUUUGUGUUAUUAGGAGGAUAAGAGACUCUUCUAGUGAAAAGUUUUAAUGAGCUAAGCAGGGUAUAAGAAGACAAACUGAUUUGAGUGCUUAAAAAUUGACAAUGUCUAUCCUAGGACAUUAAAAAAGAGUGUUUGAUGGGAGGCAACCCAUCCAUUUUUCUUCAUUCUUUUUUAGUUUUUAUUAUUUGCAUUAGUGAUUUUAAUUUAUUUAUAACAUUUCUCUUUGAGUUAACAUGAGUUCUAUGGUGAUUAGAAAGUGGGGAUAGGAAAUUCAGGUACUAGAGUAGGAGAAAAAGCUAAACUCUAGAACAACUGAACAAGCCUUGACCAAGGCUUGUGUCAGGCCCAUAAGACACAGUCGUGUGCUCAGGAGACAAGAUCAUGUGACAUGCCUCGUCCAUAUGACACAGCUAUGUGUUACCACCAAAACAUUUUUGUGAGGGAAACACAAUUGUGUGCUUGCCCAACACGGCAGUGUGUUAAUCUACACAUAAGCCUUGCCUAAGGCAUGUACUAGACUCUUAAGACACGAUUGUGUGCUACCACAAAAGCAUUUUUAUGAGGGAAACACGGCUGUGUCAUAUCUACACAAGGAACUCAACGAAAUCCCAAGAAAAAUGUGGUUCUAUGCAUGCUCGACAUGGCCAUGUGUCAUUCCCCACAUAGGCCUUACCUAAGGCUUAUCUCACCUAGCAACACAUUUGGUGUUUCUCAAAAACUGAUGUUUCCCAAUGUAUCCCACCUCUAAGUCAAAUAACAAGGGGAGUUAAUCUGUGACUUUAUUUUUAAUUUUCAUUAUUUGCAUCACAUUAGGGACAAUAUGUAGUUUAAGUGUAGGGGAGAGGCAUUCUGCAUUCUGUAUUCUGUAUCUUAAGUAGCUAGGUUUUCUUUUUAACAUCUCAUUCUAGGUAUUUAGACCUUGCUUAAUUUUUGCCACACCACACAUACACCUCCAACAAUUUUUUUUGCUCUAAUCUUCAUAACUAUCUCUAUUAUUUGUAAAUAACUCUAAUGGGGCAUUUCAAAAGUUGAUUUGCACUUAUAACCAUCUCUUAGGAAUUUUAGCCUACUUUUCAUUUUUUCACACCAUAAAUGGUUAUCUUCG